rnacentral:rRNA from 1 species
GACGAACGCUGGCGGCGUGCUUAACACAUGCAAGUCGAACGGAAAGGCCCUGCUUUUGUGGGGUGCUCGAGUGGCGAACGGGUGAGUAACACGUGAGUAACCUGCCCUUGACUUUGGGAUAACUUCAGGAAACUGGGGCUAAUACCGGAUAGGAGCUCCUGCUGCAUGGUGGGGGUUGGAAAGUUUCGGCGGUUGGGGAUGGACUCGCGGCUUAUCAGCUUGUUGGUGGGGUAGUGGCUUACCAAGGCUUUGACGGGUAGCCGGCCUGAGAGGGUGACCGGCCACAAUGGGACUGAGAUACGGCCCAGACUCCUACGGGAGGCAGCAGUGGGGAGUAUUGCACAAUGGGCGGAAGCCUGAUGCAGCAACGCCGCGUGCGGGAUGACGGCCUUCUGGUUGUAAACCGCUUUCGCCUGUGACGAAGCGUGAGUGACGGUAAUGGGUAAAGAAGCACCGGCUAACUACGUG